GGGGAUGAAUGGUCUCGACGGAGGAGGCUGAUCAGGGACUGCGAGCCGAGGCGCCCAACCGCGUGAAAAUGGGCAAAACGAGAAGUGCGAACUUCGCACAGAAGCCGGCUUUGGCCAUCGCUGCCUAGUCAGCGAGAGCCGAUGCCUUAGUUACCUGCGGGUAACUACGUCCUGACCAUCUCUCUCCCGGUGAGGUGGAUCCAGGGCGUCAUGAAGACCGGGAUGCAGCCCUCCGGAUGCCGAUACGGGGGGCCCAAGCGCAUCGGCUGGCUCCAUGCAGACCCCGUUGGCCGGGUGCUGGUGGGGCGAGAUUCCAAAGGCCACCUACGCUCGUAGAGGUCUCUGGUCGAAUCUUUCGGACGCGGGUUCGAUUCCCGCCAUCUCCACCU
rnacentral:tmRNA from 1 species